GACGAACGCUGGCGGCGUGCUUAACACAUGCAAGUCGAACGAAGUGGCGAACGGGUGAGUAACGCGUAAUCCACCUGCCCUUCAGAGGGGGACAACAGUUGGAAACGACUGCUAAUACCGCAUACUGAAGGAGUGGAUUGCGUGUGAUUAGCUAGUUGGAGGGGUAACGGCCCACCAAGGCGAUGAUGAGUAGCCGGGCUGGGAGGAUGAACGGCCACAUUGGGACUGAGACACGGCCCAGACUCCUACGGGAGGCAGCAGUGGGGAAUCUGCCGAAAUGGAGGAAAGUCUGACGGAGCAAAGCCGCGUGAGAGAUGAAUGCCGUCGGGUUGUAAAGCGCUGUUAAUCGGGACGCGGUACCGGAAUAGAAAGCCACGGCUAACUACGUGCCAGCAGCCGCGGUAAUAC
rnacentral:rRNA from 1 species